rnacentral:lncRNA from 1 species
AAAAACAAUGAAGAUGUAUUCUUGGAUUCUGAUUAGUUAUGGUUUCAUAUUGUUGACAGCUUUAUAAAAAUAAAAGAUACCUUUUCGGGACGCCUGGGUGGCUCAGAAGUUGAGUGUCUGCCUUUGGCUCAGGUCAUGACCCCAGGUCCUGGGAUCAAGUCCCAUGUUGGGCUCCCCGCAGAGGGUCUGCUUCUCCCUCUGCCUGUGUCUCUGCCUCUUUCUGUGUGUCUCUCAUGAAUAAAUAAAUAAAAUCUUUUUUUUUAAAGAUAUCUUUUAACAGUCUUUCUUUUGCAAAUAAAAAUACAAUAUAUUGUUGCUUGGCUAAUCUUGUAGGUUCUUACGGGCUGACAUGUUCCAAGAGUCCAACAACUCUGAUCUGUGCUUCCUUUAAAUUCUUUGAGAUAGACACGCAAAUUCUCAGGGAUGCACCAUUGAAAGAGAUUUCAAAGACUAAACACAAACAGUUCUCUGUCCCUCUCGUCUACUGUUUAUUACUUCAGACAAUUAAAUCUCUUGUGAUUGUCUUAGUUACCUUGCUUCAGCACUCCUGUUUUAUGUGUGGACGAAAAUUUGUAAGAUUAGUUUCUUUGUGCAUAGAUACAUCUUGAUUUUUGCGUGAGAGAACAUAUUUGUUUGUUAUUCCCCAUGUGCAUUCUUAAUUCUUCCUAAAAUUCGGCUGACCGUUUGGAACUAUUGAUACAUACUAGAUUGGAUUUUCAAGAAACUCUUCUUUCAGCACUUGAUUACAUGCAAAUAAUUGGUACUGUAAGAGAUUUCAUAGUUGAUCCUGUGUUCGAGAUAAUUUAUAAAAAUGCAGGUAUGGAAAUGUUUACCUUUGCUUAUAUUUUCUAUGAGUCAGUUCUUUAUUCAUGGCCAUUCUUUACUAGAAUCCUAUCAUUAAAAAAAAAAGUUCUUAAAGGGGAUUCCAUCAGACUUUUGAUAUAAAAAUUAACUCCUUUGAUUAAAUUUACCUAGACAGUCAUGAUGUAUGACUUUUAAACAAUAAAUUAUACUCAUAUAUCCAAAAGUUAAUAUUUAUUCUUGUUAGACAGAGAUGAAAUCCUAACAUAUCCUAUGU